rnacentral:sRNA from 1 species
CUGGCUUGGAUCACAUCGAGUAGCCCAAGGUGAUUUUGAACUAAUAGCAAUUCUUCUGCCUCAGCUUCUCGAAUAUUGAGCUUGCAGGCACGAUCCACCAGACUUGGUUGAUACAUGUAUUUCUUGCCAUAUGUGUGUGCUGGGUACCGACUGAUCCCAUUACAUGCACAAGGAGGCAGAAAGGAGGGCGCUUGCCCAAAGUCACAUGGUUGGUAAGGAUGGCUGGGAUUAAUGUAGGCACUCAGGACCUGAACCUCUUUAGCGAGGUAAUGAGGGCUGUGGGAUCAGACAACUCUGUAGCCCACCCCACCCCACCCCACCUCCCAACUGUGAGAUUAAGUGGGGAAUGGUUCAGGGAGGAAGCUGAGAUUGGGUCCCUGGCUGGCUUCACAAAAGCCAACUGUGGAGCAAGGUCCAAAUGAUUAUCGCCUGCAGAUCAGAGUGCAAAGUCCUUAAUGCGUAGACUUCCUCCUGCAAUGCCUACAAUCCAUAGGGUGAGAGUGUAAUUAAAGACCCAGGAUUACCUGCUGUCAAUCAGUGUCCCAACAUUCGGAGCAUGCUAGUGUCCUUCUGCUUCAAGGCCUCAUCCCACUGCCGCCUACAGACUGAUUCAUAGAAACUCCUUUAAAACACGGGGAAAAGAAACCGCCCAGCACACACCCCAGCACACCAGCCCAGGAAA